rnacentral:lncRNA from 10 species
GUUGAAUAACAGUAAUGAUGAUAAUAUCUGAGCUUUAUUAAGUACUUACUACAUGCUAAGAGCUUUUUAAGCACUUAUUUAAUCCUCAUUAACAAAUUCAUAAGGUAGGUGCUAUUGAUAGUUUAGCCAUAACCAGAUAUGGCUUGUUAUUUGUAAGUUAUCAUGAAAAGGUUUAUAUUCACUAUUCUUUAUUUCAGUGUAGCACUUUUAGAGCCAAAAAAACUCAGGCACAAAGAAGUUAAAUAACUUGCCGGGUGCGGUGGCUCACCCCUGUAAUCCCAGCACUUUGGGAGGCCAAAGCAGGCGGAUCACCUGAGGUCAGGAGUUUGAGACCAGCCGGGCCAACAUGGUGCAACCUCGUCUUUACUAAAAAUACAAAAACAAAAAUUAGCCAGGGGUGGUGGUAUGCACCUGCAGUCCCAGCAACAUGGGAGGCUGAACAGGAGAAUCGCUUGAACCCGCGACAGGGAGGUUGUGAUGAGCCAAGGUCAUGCCACUGCACUCCAGCCUGGGAGACAGAGCAAGACUCCAUCUCAAAAACAAAAACAAAACAAAACAACAACAAAAAAAGAAGUUAAAUAACUUGUUUAAGAUCACACAGCUAGUGCAGUUACCCCCUCUCAGUAAUUAUGUUUGGCAAAUAUGAAAUACAAGGAUCUGGCAAGGUUAGGAAGAGGUUAAGAAUAUCAGUGACAGUACUCUGAGGCAUCUGGGCAUGUCAGAUGAAGAUUUAUUAUUCAGAAAAGUUAAGUCAGCUGUUGCAGGGAUCAGUUGUUUUAUUCCUGGAAAAUGUUUUUCAUUUUGCUGCAAAUCUAUAUCUGACCUGCUGAGGAAAUCGUUUGGUGAAAUGAAUCCAGAAAGCAGAGAAAAUGCUUCAUUACUUUAAAUAGCAGCAUUAAGCCCAUUAUAGCCUCUGAAUUGUCCCUUCCUUGAGUUUGCUAAUGCUUCCAACUUAGUCAUUUGAAGCCCAAGAGUCUAAUUUUAUAUGCCCUGCCAAUGUCCUCAUCUAUUGCAGAAUGUAUAAUUAUCUAUUUGUUUUGGACUAUAUGUUACAAAAAUUUAAAACAUAAGAUCCUCUCUCUAUAUUUCAUUAUUGGUGAACCCACAUUGUGCUGUGUUUUGUGAUAUUUUAUCAUUUUCUAGAUUCUUAUGUGGAUCUAAUAACGACCACUUGAACCCAGUUUCACAGAAUCCUUAUUUUUCUGUUCAAAUUAGGAAUUAGGGACAUGGAUGAAAUUGGAAAUCUUCAUUCUCAGUAAACUAUCGCAAGGACAAAAAACCAAACACCACAUGUUCUCACUCAUAGAUAGGAAUUGAACAAUGAGAACACAUGGAGACAGGAAGGGGAACAUCACACUCUAGGGACUGUUGUGGGGUGAGGGGAGGGGUGAGGGAUAGCAUUAGGAGAUAUACCUGAUGCUAAAUGACGAGUUAGUGGGUGCAGCACACCAGCAUGGCACAUGUAUACGUAUGUAACUAACCUGCACAUCGUGCACAUGUACCCUAAAACUUAAAGUAUAAUAAUAAUAAAAUAAAAAAAAAGGAAUUAGGCAAAA